rnacentral:rRNA from 1 species
GACGAACGCUGGCGGCGUGCCUAAUACAUGCAAGUCGAACGCAGUGGGGACGGGUGAGUAAACCGUGGGUAACCUCCCAUCAGAGGGGAUAACACUUGGAAACAGGUGCUAAACCGAUACUGAUGGAUGGACCCGCGGUGCAUUAGCUAGUUGGUGAGGUAACGGCUCACCAAGGCCACGAGGCAUAGCCGACCUGAGAGGGGGCUCGGCCCAACUGGGACUGAGACCCGGCCCAGACUCCUCCGGGAGGCAGCAGUGGGGAAUAUUCGGCAAUGGGCGAAAGUCUGACCGAGCAACGCCGCGUGAGUGAAGAAGGUUUUCGGAUCGUAAAGCUCUGUUGUUAGAGAAGCGGUAUCUAACCAGAAAGCCACGGCUAACUACGUGCCAGCAGCCGCGGUAAUUC